rnacentral:rRNA from 1 species
UAAGUAAAGAUUUUAAGGGCGUACGGUGGAUGCCUUGGCGAUAUCAGCCGAAGAAGGACGCGGUAAGCUGCGAUAAGCUACGGAGAGGUGCAAGCAACCUUUGACCCGUAGAUUUCCGAAUGGGGGAACCCGGCAGUGGUUAUGCACUGUCACCCAUACCUUUGAGUAUGAGGAGGGCACCUGGGGAACUGAAACAUCUAAUUACCCAGAGGAAGAGUAAUCAA